UCAUUCAGAUGGGUCUUAGAAUGGGA
rnacentral:piRNA from 1 species